CGUAGGAUCCGAGCGUUGUCCGGAGUUUACUGGGUGUAAAGGGUGCGCAGGCGGACUGGUAAGUCAGUGGUGAAAUCUCGUCGCUUAACGACGAAACUGCCUUUGAUACUAUCAGUCUUGAGUCCGGUAGAGAUCUGUGGAAUUCCGAGUGUAGCAGUGAAAUGUGUAGAUAUUCGGAAGAACACCAGUGGCGAAGGCAGCAGAUUGGGCCGGUACUGACGCUCAUGCACGAAAGCGUGGGGAUCAAACAGGAUUAGAUACCCUGGUAGUCCACGCCCUAAACGAUGUACACUUGAUGUCGGCCUGUAAGGGUCGGUGUCGGAGCUAACGCGUUAAGUGUACCACCUGGGGAGUACGCUCGCAAGGGUG
rnacentral:rRNA from 1 species